rnacentral:misc_RNA from 1 species
ACACACACACACACACAAAAACACUUUAACUCACAUCCCAUGUUUAACUAGCAAAGUCUAGGCUGUUUAUGCAGUCAAUCAUUCAUCAUCAGAAAAAAGUUAGUUACUCAUAAAAGGUGAGGCCGAUCAGGAUACCAAAAAAGUUAUUAUUUCUCUACAGUAACAGUUGUGUCAUGUGUUUAAAUAAUUACACAAUUAUUUUGGCAUAAUAGGGACUGCAUUGGUUUACACAGUUAAAUAAGAAUGGAAAAAGGAAAAAUUAAAACCGAAAAACAAAAGGUUUCAUCUUCUUCCCCAG